UCGCUUCUGCUCUCAAAGACUUUGGUGAGUCUUUUCUCAAUCUCACCAGAAUCCCAUAAAUCCUUAUGUUGGGCGCACUGCUGGUCAAACAGUCCACAUUAUUCUUGGAUAGAAACCAGAAAGACCAGCAGUCUAUUCAAAGCAGGUUAUCCAAAAAACAAAAUAAAAUUAGAACAAAAUUUAUUUGGAUUUCUUUUCUUCUUCCAAGUCCUUCUUCCGAACUCUCUCUGGAAUUUGAAUGGAUGCAGAUGUAAAAUGAAGAGUCAACCCAAAGGAUAUGGAAUAACUGGGAGUAAACUGGAAGCAAGCAGCCACAAGAUGAAGCAGCACCAGCAAAUGAGGCAGCCACACAGACAGUAGAGAAAAAGAAAUUGGAAAGCUAGUGUGCAGAAUGCAUUUCUAAUAGAAAAAGCUUCCUACCUGGGGAGCCAGUCUCAGUAUUUGGAGAGACUGCAUCCACAAAUUAUCGAUCAUCUGCUAGUACAAACACACAUAUGCUCAAAGCAUUAUGAAGUGCUUAAUAAUGAUGAAGUGAACACGAUGGCCGGAGGGGACAAAAAAUUGCCCACUGUCUGACCAGAUGCUCAGGAUCCUACCAGACUGUCAGGCUACAGUCGCAUUAAAAGAUUUGUAGCUGUUUAUAAUCCAAUUAACACUUUCACUGUGUGUAUGUAAUCCUCCCACCAAUGUCUUUUCCCAUAAUAAAAAG